AACAGGAUUAGAUACCCUGGUAGUCCACGCUGUAAACGAUGCCGAUUUGGAGGUUGUGCCCUUGAGGCGUGGCUUCCGGAGCUAACGCGUUAAAUCGACCGCCUGGGGAGUACGGCCGCAAGGUUAAAACUCAAAUGAAUUGACGGGGGCCCGCACAAGCGGUGGAGCAUGUGGUUUAAUUCGAUGCAACGCGAAGAACCUUACCUACUCUUGACAUCCAGAGAACUUUCCAGAGAUGGAUUGGUGCCUUCGGGAACUCUGAGACAGGUGCUGCAUGGCUGUCGUCAGCUCGUGUUGUGAAAUGUUGGGUUAAGUCCCGCAACGAGCGCAACCCUUAUCCUUUGUUGCCAGCGGUUCGGCCGGGAACUCAAAGGAGACUGCCAGUGAUAAACUGGAGGAAGGUGGGGAUGACGUCAAGUCAUCAUGGCCCUUACGAGUAGGGCUACACACGUGCUACAAUGGCGUAUACAAAGAGAAGCGACCUCGCGAGAGCAAGCGGACCUCAUAAAGUACGUCGUAGUCCGGAUUGGAGUCUGCAACUCGACUCCAUGAAGUCGGAAUCGCCAGUAAUCGUAGAUCAGAAUGCUACGGUGAAUACGUUCCCGGGCCUUGUACACACCGCCCGUCACACCAUGGGAGUGGGUUGCAAAAGAAGUAGGUAGCUUAACCUUCGGGAGGGCGCUUACCACUUUGUGAUUCAUGACUGGGGUGAAGUCGUAACAAGGUAACCGUAGGGGAACCUGCGGCUGGAUCACCUCCUU
rnacentral:rRNA from 1 species